rfam:Blochmannia endosymbiont of Polyrhachis (Hedomyrma) turneri strain 675, complete genome.
CUUGGUGGCGAGAGCGCGAUGGAUCCACCUGAAUCCAUAUCGAACUCAGAAGUGAAACGUCGUAGUACCGAUGGUAGUAUGGGGCUUCCCCAUGUGAGAGUAGGUGGCUGCCAAGU